UUGCUUACAUCCACAGCUCAUAUUGUACAUUUGAAACAAUAUAGAGAAGGUUAGCAUGACUUCUGAAUAAGGAUAAGACACAAAUUCAUAAAAGCACACAACAUUGUG